GUCACAAUAAAAUAAUCACCAUUACCACUCCAAAAAAUGUUUAAAUGAAAAUUUGAAAUUUAAUUUGUUUGAUUCGAAGCAUAGUGAGGAAUCUAUUGGAAGUAGCAGUUUCAAGUAGCAGUAUCGUUCUCAUUAUAUGAGAACGAUUCUUGUUGAUAAUGAAGUUUCAUAGCUCAGGGGUGAACCAGGAAUGAAAUACGGGAGGGCAGUGAGUGACCAGAGGGACAAAAGAAAGAAUAAAGCAAGAAAUUCGGAAUAUAUAACCAGUAAACAUUUUCCCUUAAAAUUAUAACCAAUAAUGACAGAAAUUUUGUACGGUAACCGUUGGCCGUAAACAUUCACGAUUUUCGUAACCAUAUCGCUAGUAUGGGAGACCGUUGACUCCCCCAUUACAACAACUUGUAAUAACGUUAAUUACUAAAACCCUACAUUAAUUACAUUAUUAAAGAGUGAAAAGUAUUGAGAAACAAAGCCCCAUGGCCUCAUUUGCACCAUAAUAAGAAGUAUAUGCGAGUUCCCAAUUGAAAGAGGUAAGGGAGUCAGUGAUUUGAAGUCGGAUGUGAUCGAUUUAAAGUGAGAAAGAGAUGGAUGGUAUGCAUCAGGAGUAAUAACACAUGCGUAAGCAGAAAUAAGAGAUAAAGAGUUAGUAUUAGUCAGAACUAGGUCAAGAAAAAAAUCAUGGGUGUUGAUUAUUGAGAAUAGUAGGUAUUCAAUUGAUAGAAACCAUGAAGUGAAAAACACUUAGCAACACUUUGGUUGACAAAAGCGGAAGUGGAAGAGCAACAUAAACUGUGGCCGUCAAAAUUAAGCGGGACAUUGCCCCCUUUGACAUGUCCACAGUUACCCAGCAAGAAAGUGACUGAUGUAGAUGAAAAGUUAGGAAGGUUCAGGGGAAAUUUACUAUAUAACUGUACGCAAUGAUUAACCAUUGUUAACGAAAAACAAUUCUGAGCGGAGUUCGAUUAAUAAUAUUGCUUUUUCAACAAUAUAUAUGUUAUAUUAUGGGUAAAUAAAUAUAGGUACAUUGAAUACCUACAACGAAUUACAUAGUAAAUAUAUAUUGUGUUUUAGUUGUAUUUUUUACCCCCUGUUACCUUUUACCUUUUACCCUGUUAACCCAACGUUAUUUUGCAAAACAAAUUUUUUAGAACUCGGGUUUAAGCUCGUGACCUUUGAGUUAAUAAUAGGUAUAUAGUUAGGUACAUAUCUACUACCACUAUAACUACGAUAGGUAUGCUAUAAAAUUGUCAUUAUUAAGUUAUUUAACAUAACACAUAUAUAAUAUUUGCAGAACUUCGAAGAGCUAUAAUUUGGAAACUAAUACAGUCCGCUCAAUUCUGACUUUACCAUAGUUCUUAAAUCGGCAAUAUACUUGCAUAAUAUAUGUUCAAAACAAAAAAAACCUAGGAUAAUGGAGACGGGUGCAGCCACUGUUAUAAGUAAUUUAAUGUACAUCAACGAUAAACCAUUGCUAACGAAAAACCGAUUUUAAGCGUAGUUCAAUUGAUAGUGAUGUUUAUUUGUCAACAAUAUACAAAUUAUAUUAAGAUAAAAUAAUUAAA
rnacentral:lncRNA from 1 species